CAAGCAGCUAACUUACCAUCUGAGUUAGAGUCUGUGAAUUAGACUCAAAGUUUGUGCCUGAUUGCAGCAGACUGGCUUUGGUCAAGAGGGAAGGCAAAAAAAGAGGAAGACAGGCAACAGGAAGGAAAGGAUACCUUCGUAUCAGGAAAAUGAAACUUUCUCUGAAUCGCCAGCAAUCUUCUGCUUCUCACUGACUGUAUGUUAUCACUGCCUUAAUGGAUGAGUCAAAAAUCAGAAGGGUUAAAUGAACUCCUAAAGGAUGAAAGCCAGACUUUCCAUUUCACCCACCAUUUUUCAGAAAGUAAGGCUUCCAAAUGAAACUCCAUUUUGCCUACUCUCAGAAAAACCAAAAAAGCAGAAGAUGGUGAAUCACUGAAGAUCUUAAUAAUGAAAAAAAAAAGCCUCUGGAAAACUUAUGUCCACAUAAAAACCUGCACAUGGCAGUUUUAUUCAUAACUGACAAAAAGUGGUAGCCAAGAUGUUUUAAAUAGGCAAACAGCAAAACUGUGGCACGUGUAUACAAUGGUGUAUUAAUCAACAAUAAAACAAGUGAGUUAUCAGGCCAUGAAAAGACAUGGAGAAGCCUUAAUGCAUACUGUAAAGUAAAAGAUGCUAUUCUGAACAGGCUGCAUUCUGUAUGAGUCCAACUCUAUAACAUUGUGGAAAGGACAAAAGCUAUAGAGAUAAUAAAAGGAUCAGUGUUCUGCAGGAGUUGGGGAGGCGAGAGAUGAGGGAUGAACAGGUGAAGCCAUGAGAUUUUUAGGGCAGUUAAACUAUUACUUAUGAUACUGCAAUGAUGGAUACAUGACAUUAUGUAUUUGCCAAAACUCAUAGAAUAUACAGCACAAAGAGUGAGCCUUAAUGUAAACUAUGGGCUCUGGUUAAUAAUAGUGUAAUAAUAUUGGUUCAUCAAUUAUAACAAAUGUACCAAAAUAAUACAUGUUAACAACAGGGAAAACUGGGGAGAGGACGGGGAAGGUAUAUGGGAACUCUCUGUACCUUUUCUUCUGAGCAAUUUUUCUGAAAACCUAAAACUGCCGAAAGUAAAGUCUACUUGGAAAAAAUAAAGUCUCUG
rnacentral:lncRNA from 1 species